rnacentral:sRNA from 1 species
GAUGCAUCAGAUUUACAGCUGCAGUGACGAGAACAUAGAAGUUUUCACCACCGUGAUUCCUUCCAAGGUAUCCAGUCCAGCCAGAAGAAGAGCCAAAAGCUCUCAGCACCUCUUGACCAAGAAUGUGGUGAUCGAGUCGGACCUGUACACGCACCAGCCCCUGGAGCUGCUGCCCCACCGCGGAGACCGCAGGGACCCUGGCGACCGCCGCAGGUUUGGGCGGCUCCAGACCGCGCGGCCGCCCACAGCCCACCCGGCCAAAGCCUCUGCCAGACCCGUGGGGAUUUCUGAACCCAAAACAUCAAAUCUGUGUGGGAAUCGAGCAUAUGGAAAAUCUCUGAUACCGCCAGUGCCCCGGAUCUCAGUGAAAACUUCGGCCUCUGCCUCAUUGGAGGCGACAGCCAUGGGCACAGAGAAGGGAGCUGUUCUGAUGAGAGGACAGUGAGUCUUCAACUCGAUUCAGCACAUACCUGUAUGCCCCGGACUACAUCCUCCACACCGCAGGCAGCAGAAAAGGCGUUUCAGGGUGGCGAAGGGUUGGGUUAUUUUCUCAGAUCUGCUUUCU